rnacentral:lncRNA from 1 species
AGGAUCCAGGCAGUGUCUGUCCACCAAAGACUGCAAAGGCUUCUACACUUUUCUGGUUUUUCCUUUCCCUAAUGCUCCUCCAGCCUCCUCCUCACCAUGAUUUAGGAACCUGGUUCUUCUUAAAAUUCAGACUAACAGCAAUGCUCUUUCCGCCACAGUGGAAGCAAGAUGCUUGGAGUUCUGCCAGGCAUCUUGGGGUAGAAAUUUCUUGGCUCUCCCAGAGAGUUCUCACACUUUCUGUGAGUGUUCACUGUGGGAGAAACGGCAGCAUGAGUGGAUCAUAAAAGCAGAUCCCAAGUGUGCAAAGAGCAUAGACAACAGGUUGAAUUUAUCAGGAAUCUGUUUAACAGGCUUCUGGUUGAGCAAAGGCCAGCCUGUAUCAGCAACUCUUCCAGGAGCCUCAGUUGGCCCAAACCAGCAGCACCGCCAGCUCUGA